CUGAGAAGAGCAAUGAGAGGUCGGCUCCCUGAGGAGGUGACUGCAGGGUGACCAUAUUACAGGCGAGCUUUUAAAGAAAUGAUCACAGUGCGCUGCGAAUGGCUGAGACACGUUGCUGAUGGGUCCUGAAUGAGAUGCGCUGUGGAUUGAUCUGUGACUUCCAGGUCUAUCGUAAGAAAGAUAAAUCCAUUAACAACGUCGAAAGUAGCCUACUUUAAGAGGAAAUAUGCAGAAGAAGAGACUGUACAUCAAGAUUAUCAAGGAUGUUUUCCAAAACACCUGAUAUCACCUGAAGACCGGACCUGCAUUCUUAAACUCUCUCUGGAGAAGCUCCGGUUCCUGGAAGACCCCGAAAUCUAUCUACGGAGGUCGGUACUGAUCAAUAACCUGCUCAGGAAAAUCCAUCUGGAAUCUGAUAAGGAGAACUAUGAAUACUACAAGGGGGUCCCCAGCAACAAGAGCACUUAUACAGACACUCGAAAACGGAUGAAACUCAUGGUAAAAGGUUGUUAUUCUCAAUCUCUGUACUAUGAGGAGCUGAGGUCAUAUCAUAUUGUGCCUUACACUACGGAUGAUGUCCUCUACCAGAUGGGCUACUCUGGAGGUCACAUGGCACAAAACUCUCAGCUGCUAAUUUAUCGAAUGAAAGAGUGACUGCCUGCUCAGAUGUGCUCAUUUUCAAGUCAGCAACAUCCGGAAAUGGAAACGCGAUAAAA